rnacentral:rRNA from 1 species
UAGAGGAAGUAAAAGUCGUAACAAGGUUUCCGUAGGUGAACCUGCGGAAGGAUCAUUAGCGAAACGUUUGUCGAGAAGGGUUGUAGCUGGUUCCAUUCGUGGAGCAAACGUGCACGCCUGGAUCGCAAAUUCUCUUCACACCUGUGCACAUCCCGUAGCUUUGUGGGGUGCCGGACAGAUCUUUGAUUUGGAUGGCAUUCUUGAGGUUGCGAGCAUUUUUAUCACACACACACACAUAUACUUUAUCAGAAUGUAGCAGCGUGUAAAAGCGCAAAAUAUAUACAACUUUCAGCAACGGAUCUCUUGGCUCUCGCAUCGAUGAAGAACGCAGCGAAAUGCGAUAAGUAAUGUGAAUUGCAGAAUUCAGUGAAUCAUCGAAUCUUUGAACGCACCUUGCGCUCCUUGGUAUUCCGAGGAGCAURCCUGUUUGAGUGUCAUUAUAAUUCUCAACUGCCCUUGUGGUGAAGUUGGAUUUGGAGGAUCUUGCUGGCGGCUCUUUGAUGAGCUUUGUCGGCUCCUCUUGAACGCAUGGAGCCCUUGACGCUGCAAAAGUGACUCCGAUGUGAUAAUUAUCUACGUCGGACCGUCGCGUUUGCUUUGGGCGCAAAUAACAAUCUUUGACAAUUUGACCUCAAAUCAGGUAGGACUACCCGCUGAACUUAAGCAUAUCAAA